rnacentral:misc_RNA from 1 species
UGGUUUUACAGAACUGUAACAUAUACGUUAGAAAACCAAUGAGCAACCAAAAGAACACUGUCACAGCCCAAGCAAGAACAGACCCAAAUGAGAACACAGGAAUUGUCAUCCAUAACUCUCGGGUGACGGCAGCUUCUGAUCUGGGACCAUUGCGGGGUUCGUUCAAGACUUAUCUAGGAAGGCCAUGGCAAAAAUAUUCACGAACUUUGUUCUUGAAGAGUAAUUUAGACGGGCUUAUUGACCCAGCAGGUUGGUUACCAUGGAGUGGGAAUUUUGCUUUG